AUUCCCAGUUUUAUUUCAGCUUCACUGAAGUAAAGACCAUUCCUGCACUCUAGUGCUGGAUCUUUUUUUCUAUGUAGAACAGUGGAGAGCUUUAAUUAACAGUUUAUUUAUCUUAGGAUGAUUUGUUUAAAUGAUGCUAUUUUGAACUAGAUUUUAUUAAAUGACAGACUACUUGCUCCUUCUCUUUGGCAAUGUGCAUUCAUGAUGGAUUUGAAUCACUUCAUCAUAUUUCCACACUUAAAUGAUGACAUGGAUCAACCUAUGACUGGAUUCUUCAGGACAGAGCAAGAGGCUUGGAGAGUCUUGGCUUCAUUUCCUUGACAUGCUUUUCCCCAUCUGGGCUGGAUAGUACAGCUCUGGCCUCAGGAUGCCUGCACACUCCUCUGCUGCCCUCCUGGAGCAUCUCAUCAGCGUUUGGUUAUAAUUCAGUGUCCAUCAAUGCUGGCACAGUCACACUUCCUAAUGCUAGCUGCCUAACAGGUUCUUCCCCCCGCUCUGCUUUCCUGAGCCUGUCUUCACGUAGUCCUGCCAGUGAUCCUGUGCUACAAAAACAGAUGGACACAAGCUGCUGCACCCAUCAGCUACACAGCUGCACUUCAUUCCACAGCAAAAAUGUAUCAACAUUAAUUCUUGACUGUGAGCUCCUGCCCAGCACCAUCAGCACCCCUACCACAGCAGGGAGCAGCCCCCCACCAUCAGCAAGUCAAUGCUUGGGGGCUCAGCACAGGCACUUGAAGCACCAUAACAUAAAUAAACUAUGGGUGAGAUGAAGGGAAAAAUAGUCAAAUAAUUUCCUGUUGUGCAAUUACAAUAAAAAUAGCUAAUCCUGAAUGAAGCUCUUGCUUCAUUCUUGUAUCCAUGGCAACAGAAAGGGAGAUUGGAAGACUGGCUGCAGAUGAACGCAGCGCUCUCCGUCCCAGCAGCCAGCUCAGCCUGCCCAGUGUUGCAGCAGGCAGGGGAGGAGGGCUGCUCUGCUGCUGGGGUGGGCUCUGCCCUGUGCUGAGAGGGACCAGUGGCAGGGAAACACAGGUCCACGCUCAGCAAUCUCUGCAUGAGUCCCUUACGCUUUCAGAGCAUCCUGCUCUGCUCCCUGGUGCACAGUGUUCCUUGGCCCAAGUAAAGGCAGAGAGCCUGAGUUCUCAGUGAGGAAUCAGCAUAAAUCAAAUGACAGGUCACCAGCUGAAGUGGUUCAAUACUUCUCCCUUGAAGCAACAGGUUUCAGUGCUUGGCUUAGGUGCUAACUCAAGUCAGCUGGGGCAGUUUGCAUUUUAGGGGCACCAUUGCCCCUAAAAAGGGGUUUGGUGUAUUGCUGAUAAUCUGUGAAUUACCUAUCAACAUGGGUAUGUUUGUGCUUCCUCUGUGAAACUUUAUACAAGUCACUGAGUGCCAGUGAGCCGCAGGUCAGUAUCCCAUGCUGGACAGUAUCCCCAUUUUGGAUAGUAUCCUCAUGUUGUCAGUAAUUCUAUUUUGGACAAUAUCUCCAUUUCAUUCCCAGUAAGUCUGUUGAAAUUAUGUUGAUGAGCCCAUUAAUAUUGUCUGGAAAACAGUAACUACCACAUGGGUUCAAAAGCAUACCUUCAAUUCCCAGUUGGAAAAUAUCCCGUAUUUCAAGUUCUCUUGCCCUAUCUAGUGUUUGUUUUACAAGUUUAAGUGCAAGAUAUCAGGACUUGGAUACAAAUUUCAAAUGUCAUGUCCAGGUGAACAGAGGCCAUAAUUAUUGUAUCCUAGUCACAUCUAUGUUUAUUUGCAUGUUCUCAACUCCUGCUUAUAAUGAAUUGCUGGUCAUGAAAUUCCUCCUCGUGAAAAGGAUAUUAAAUUUGAUUAUUGCAAUCAGUUUUCAUUUGAUAUUAAUGUUCUUAUAAGUACACUGAAUUGCACUGCAUUUUUGUUGGAAAAUCAUAUAAUACAAAAUCUUAUGUGCUUCACUGAUGAUAGCACCAGAAACACAUAAACUUCUUGCAAUUUUAUGUAUGAAGAAGCAGCUUUCCUAAUCAAAGUACUGGGAGUAAUGAAAAAGCCUUUGUAACAUAAUAUCAUAAGCAUUGUGAAAAUUGUGAACACUGAGCUGCUGGGAAAAAAACCCACUUUACUAUAUUUUUCACGUCAUGGGAAGAUGGGUGAGUAGCCUCCUUUAAAAAGGUAACCAUACACAAUACAGGAUCACCUCUUGGAGAAAAAUAGCUGUGCAAAGUAGGACAUAAUAAUCUGUGUUAUGUAAUGCUGUUAAUUUUUUCUGAUUGUGAGUUUUUGUAGUUGUUGGAGUUUUUUUCCUCAAGGACCAUAUUUGACUGAUAUGCCAUCUUCAGUGGACGGCAUUUCUAUGGGGAUUUUUAUUCAUUACAAGAAACUAAGGCAAGGAAAAAAGGUUUCAAUAACUGUUUUUACCCAGGUGAAGGCCAUACAAAAUGACAGAAGGAAUCAGGCCUUUUUUUGAUACUUUGGUUCAACUAGCUUUCUUGUAGGCAGCAGAGAACCAUUCUGUAAAGAAGAGUUAGUCUUCUGCUGCUGUCCUGAUGCAUGCAAGUGUGAAUUAAAGCUUUUUUCCUAAAUAUCCUCUAUGCACAUUAGUGAAUAACUCAUUCCACACCCAGAACAUUGUCUAGUUUGGAGGGUGACUGGCAUGGCUUGGCUUGCCCCUGUACAGUUGACUCUGCUAUUGCCAGUGUCUGCACUGUGCAGAGGGACAGAUCCUGCUCAGCCACCCUCUGACAGCAGUCCUGCCCUACAGCUGUGUCAGGGAUGGGCCAGCAAUCCCACAGAAUGGACAAACGUGCCAGCCCUGCUCGUGUCCUCAUCUUAUUUAGUUUACUGGGAGGGAAAUAACUUUUAUGGCUGAGAGGCAGCCUAGUUUCUCCCAGCAGCUGCCCACCUGAAGGUUAGCAGAAAGCUUUCGCUGUCACACCAAUGCUCAGAGUUAAUCCAUCAGGCACUAUUUGCAGUUGAUCUGAAUCACUGAUGUGACUGGAAGAAGCAGUGAUGGAAAUGAAAGGGAAAGACUGUUGGGUGAUCCCCAGUCAAAAAGAAAUUUCCUCUGCAUCCCAAGAACAUUUAAAUGAAAAAUCUCCUGUUUUCCUCAAUAUCUGUUACCUUUAUCAACAGCAGCCUGUACUCUUCUAAAGCCCUUUGCAAACCCUGUUACUGUUGUCCUUUCACCUAGAGUUUCUGCAGUCUCCACCUCUCCUUCACUGCCAAUUUCUCAAGCAUUUUUAGCCACAGGUUGUGUCCUUUGCCAGUGAUUCUUCUCUACUUCUGCCAAAACUAGCCACCUUAGUAAAUUGAACAAUGUUAGGAAGGUCACCUUGGUAGGAGGGUCACAGCUGCAGCUCUGUCCAUCAUCCCAAGCAAUUCCUAUGAAGUGUUCAUGGGUUGGCACAGAAGGAUCUUCCGGUGUUACUUUCAGGAGGUGAUUUCAGUGCAGCUCCUGUUUCAGUGCAGUGCCUAUUUUGAAGCAGAAGAGAGCAUGACAUGACUGGCAUGGCCAGCCAAGCUGUGCUGUUGCACUCCCCUGCUCCAAGACUGCCUCUCCUCCUCUCCAGGCACAGGGCUAGUCUGUGCCAGGGGGACACAGCGAGCUCGUCCUGGCACCAUUUAGUGUCUCAGAUAGAAGCUAAUAAGCAGAUAAAGCAAAUGGGAUCUCAGUGUAAUGGUAGUUGGGGUAUUUAAUUCUUGCUGCAAAACUUUAGGGCCUCAGUUAUUGCCAAUCUAUUCCCUUAAUGUGCUUAUUCAACGUUUGGACUCGGCGAUGAAAGCUCUCUAUUCCAUUACAAUGGAAGGGAAAUGUUUUCUUAUGAACACUGGAAAUGCUGUGGGUACAAGGGAGGAGCAGGCUGAAUUUGUGACCCCUGAAUUGUGAGACAGGUGGUGCUGAGGAUGACGAGCAGUUGGGGAAGAAGCAGCUUCCCCAUUUGGGCAGCAGCUGCCCUGUGCCACAGCAGGUCCCACUCGGUGUCCUGCCACGCCACAUCUGUGCUGAUGGGAACAAUUGGCACCACACCACCAGGAGCUCUCCAGUGAACAUGGACAGCUCCUCUGUCACCCAGCUCCAGCACAGCACCUGAAGGAAAUUACUGGGGUUUUCCUAUAGAAAGAAUGGUGGAGGAAAUAAAUAUUUUCUCAUUAUUUUCAAAUAUUUCCUUUGACAUUUUUCAAUUUUUCUUUCAAAACAAGACCCAGAAAAAAUACUGAUCAGAAGCAGUUUCUGAAAUUUUCUCCUAUGUGUUCUCUUUAACAAAUGUUGGUUUUAUCCUGAUUUUCCCUGAACAAUACAAACCAUAUUGCUACAGGAAAAAAAAAAAAAAAAAAAAA
ensembl:lncRNA